UCUCCCCCUCCGUCGAUAAGCAAUUUGAUGAUUUUAAUGAUAAUGAUUGAUUUUGAUCAUUUUGAUCUAUAUUGAUACAUGCGUAUGAGCGUGCACAUUUGACUUUGCAUUCGCACGGUGCGUGAUAUCGUGCAUGAUAUAUUCGUGAUGGCAGCCACUGAAAAUCUCACUGUUAGCCAGGCUAAAGAUAUCUUGCAAGACUUGCUGCAGACACUGCAGUCAGAUGAGAUAAACGAGAAGAUAUCUGGAGCACGAGAUCAGGCUGGCAAUGACAUGGUCAAAUACAUGCAGCUCGUUUUUCCACUGGUAGCUCAGGUGCAGGCAGAGGUCAUCGAAAAACAUGGAUUUUAUGGUGAACGAGCAAGUGUAGCCUUCAUGCAGAUGCUGAAGAACUUGGAAACACAGGACCCUGAGCUGGUGGCAAUGAGUGCAAGGGUGAGAGAGUAUUUCCUGCCCCAGUUGGGAGACCCAAAGGAUAGCUGAGAUGUGUCUGAAAACAAAUGACUGAACACCGUAUGAUGUGGGUGAGAACUGAAAGAUGUGUUGUCUAUUUUUUGUGCUUUUUUACAAUGAACAUUUCUUGGACACUUCAGUGGCACUAUUUCGAGGGAAAGAGCUUGGCGAAUUGCAUUGUGCAGUAAUGAGAGAAUCUAGGUUCUCUAGAUGAUGAUUUAGAAAGAGUAUCGACUACCGAUGCUCAUUACCUUCCCUUAUUAUUAAUGCGGUGAAAUUUCCAAAGGGAGUUGACUGAAAGUAACAUGAUCUUUGUUGUACCAUGAAGUGGGUCUCGAAUUCGAUUCAACUAGACAGGAUGCGAAUCCAUCAUAAUCGUGGCAAUUUUUCCCCGCGCAGUGAAGUGUUAUGUUGAUGUAGUAUGUACGAACGUAUCACUUCGUUGUGUUGUGGUAUGGCAGAUAUUCGCCAAUGAUUAGCAUCAACAUAUACCACUCGUCAAUCAGUAGUGCUUGGCUAUCGACGCCUGUAGGUAAUGCCACUCCGCUUAUUUGAACGUCCGUCCGUAUAGACGUUCAGAUACCGAUGGCAUGAUUCUUAUCGGUCAUUUGGCUAACGUUGUGACUCAGCUGAUUGGAAUGCAUCCAUUGGGUGCUGGUAGAGAUGUUUUGUGUGUGGUGCCCUACUUAGUCAAAGCAAGUGCCUUAUCUCCAGCUAGAUUUAGGCGAGAUAUUGCGGUCAUUGUCCUCGUAGUUCGUAUAUGGCUGAAUGCAGAGGUGAUGUUUGGGCCCUGAACACAUGAAUUAGCAUAGGUUGUCUUCUGCUGGUGUUAGCGAUGUAAUCUUGCCUCAUAUUGCGAUGCGAAUUGACGAUAUCAGUCCCAAACUCAUCCCGGAACACGAAGUUCAUAACCUUGCUGAUAAAGCUAUUUGUGGCUUGAGUCAGUUGCUUCCCUUUCAGUUGUGGAUCGCGCCCUAUUUCAGUUUGUAUGCACCAUUAAUUCAUUAUGUCUGAGCUUUAAGCGUGUACUUUUCUGAACUAACAAUAAACGUACUUACUAAUGUGA